GACGAACGCUGGCGGCGUGCCUAACACAUGCAAGUCGAGCGAGGUCCAUCCAGUGGCAACACUGGGGACGACCUAGCGGCGAACGGGUGAGUAACACGUGAGGAACCUGCCCCGAAGACCGGGAUAACCCGAGGAAACUCGAGCUAAUACCGGAUACCCCCACGAGACCGCAUGGUCAUGUGAGGAAAUGUCUUUUCGCUUCGGGAGGGCCUCGCGGCCUAUCAGCUUGUUGGCGGGGUAACGGCCCACCAAGGCAUCGACGGGUAGCUGGUCUGAGAGGACGAUCAGCCACACUGGGACUGAGACACGGCCCAGACUCCUACGGGAGGCAGCAGUGGGGAAUCUUGCGCAAUGGGCGAAAGCCUGACGCAGCAACGCCGCGUGGGGGACGAAGGCUCUCGGGUUGUAAACCCCUUUCAGGAGGGACGAAAUUGACGGUACCUCCAGAAGAAGCCCCGGCCAACUACGUGCCAGCAGCCGCCGUAAAAC
rnacentral:rRNA from 1 species